UACGUAGGGUGCAAGCGUUGUCCGGAAUUAUUGGGCGUAAAGAGCUCGUAGGCGGUCUGUUGCGUCGGCUGUGAAAACCCGGGGCUCAACCCCGGGCCUGCAGCCGAUACGGGCAGACUAGAGUUCGGCAGGGGAGACUGGAAUUCCUGGUGUAGCGGUGAAAUGCGCAGAUAUCAGGAGGAACACCGGUGGCGAAGGCGGGUCUCUGGGCCGAUACUGACACUGAGGAGCGAAAGCGUGGGGAGCGAACAGG
rnacentral:rRNA from 1 species